CCUACGCGAGGCAGCAGUGGGGAAUAUUGGGCAAUGGGCGCAAGCCUGACCCAGCAACGCCGCGUGAAGGAAGAAGGCUUUCGGGUUGUAAACUUCUUUUAAGAGGGAAGAGCAGAAGACGAUACCUCUUGAAUAAGCCACGGCUACCUACGUGCCAGCAGCCGCGGUCAUACGUCGGUGGCCAGCGUUGUCCGGCUUUACUGGGUGUAAAGGGCGUGCAGCCGGGAAGAAAAGUGAGAUGUGAAAUCCCGCGGCUCAACCGCGGAACUGCAUUUGAAACUGUUUUUCUUGAGUACCGGAGAGGUCAUCGGAAUUCCUUGUGUAGCGGUGAAAUGCGUAGAUAUAAGGAAGAACACCAGUGGCGAAGGCGGAUGACUGGACGGCAACUGACGGUGAGGCGCGAAAGCGUGGGGAGCAAACAGGAUUAGAUACCCUGGUAGUC
rnacentral:rRNA from 1 species